rnacentral:lncRNA from 12 species
CAGCUGUCAAUGUGCCUUUUUCACGUGCAGGUUGCUCUCUCCAAUGCCAGCAGAUGAAAGGAUAUUCAGUUCAUGCUCUGAGCAGCAUUUCCAUUUCCUCUGCAUCUUGUGCAACUCCUUGACCAAGUCACUUUGCAGCCCUGUCCCCUCAUCUUUUGGCAUCUCUGACACCUACAGGGUCUGUGCAAUGGGACUCAAAGAGUGUACUGUAGGCAAGGAGUAAAAUGUGACUCAAAUAGCAGCUACUGCAGUCUUCCCAUGGUAUUUUGCAUCAGCACUUUACCAAAAUUCCCAGGUAUCUUUGGUGUGAUAGGGCAAUGAACCCUGUGGUGUUUCAGAGACCUUUUAGGGCAUUUGUCCUGGCAAGGUAGACAUCCAUUGUGUCAGUGUGUGAUGUGCAUGACAGGGGAUGUUUUCUCCUAUUGCCCAAUGAACUGCUCUCCAGUUUGAGAUUCGUGAACUGUCCUCUAGAUAUGAGUGCGUUUUCAAUAAAGUGAUUCUUUCACCCAAGAAGAAGUGUUUUUC